rnacentral:rRNA from 1 species
GGGAAUCUUCCACAAUGGACGCAAGUCUGAUGGAGCAACGCCGCGUGAGUGAAGAAGGUUUUCGGACCGUAAAGCUCUGUUGUUGGUGAAGAAGGAUAGAGGUAGUAACUGGCCUUUAUUUGACGGUAAUCAACCAGAAAGUCACGGCUAACUACGUGCCAGCAGCCGCGGUAAUCGUAGGUGGCAAGCGUUGUCCGGAUUUAUUGGGCGUAAAGCGAGCGCAGGCGGAAGAAUAAGUCUGAUGUGAAAGCCCUCGGCUUAACCGAGGAAUUGCAUCGGAAACUGUUUUUCUUGAGUGCAGAAGAGGAGAGUAGAACUCCAUGUGUAGCGGUGGAAUGCGUAGAUAUAUGGAAGAAUACCAGUGGCGAAGGCGGCUCUCUGGUCUGCAACUGACGCUGAGGCUCGAAAGCAUGGGUAGCGAACAGGAUUAGAUGCCCUGGUAGUCCAUGCCGUAAACGAUGAGUGCUAAGUGUUGGGAGGCUUCCGCCUCUCAGUGCUGCAGCUAACGCAUUAAGCACUCCGCCUGGGGGAGUACGACCGCAAGGUUGAAAC